rnacentral:rRNA from 1 species
CAGUCGCCACGGGAACACGGAGGGUGCAAGCGUUAAUCGGAAUUACUGGGCGUAAAGCGCACGCAGGCGGUUUGUUAAGUCAGAUGUGAAAUCCCCGAGCUUAACUUGGGAACUGCAUUUGAAACUGGCAAGCUAGAGUCUUGUAGAGGGGGGUAGAAUUCCAGGUGUAGCGGUGAAAUGCGUAGAGAUCUGGAGGAAUACCGGUGGCGAAGGCGGCCCCCUGGACAAAGACUGACGCUCAGGUGCGAAAGCGUGGGGAGCAAACAGGAUUAGAUACCCGCGUAGUCCCUGUCUCUUAUAA